CAGAAGUAGAAUCAUCCUCUUCCAGUGCAUGGGUAACUGAAUGUGAGGAAUGCAAAAGCAUGGACAAGUGGGAUCCUCAUAGUUAAACGGGGAUCUAGAUUCAUUUUCAGGAGAAGAAACUAUGUAUCUUCUAUCAGAUAUUGAACGUAGAAGCCAUUGAUGAUUGAAUUAAAACCACAGCAAUAAACACUCUAAUUUGUGCAGA